rnacentral:tRNA from 1 species
AGUUAGUAAGCUUUAAGCAUUAUAUUUUGAAAAUAUAAGAAAGAUAUUAAAUUUAUCUACUAGCUU